rnacentral:rRNA from 1 species
GACGAACGCUGGCGGCGUGCUUAACACAUGCAAGUCGAACGGAAAGGCCCUGCUUUUGUGGGGUUCUCGAUUGGCGAACGGGUGAGUAACACGUGAGUAACCUGCCCUUGACUUUGUGAUAACUUCAGGAAACUGGGGCUAAUACCGGAUAGGAGCUCCUGCUGCAUGGUGGGGGUUGGAAAGUUUCGGCGGUUGGGGAUGGACUCGCGGCUUAUCAGCUUGUUGGUGGGGUAGUGGCUUACCAAGGCUUUGACGGGUAGCCGGCCUGAGAGGGUUACCGGCCACAUUGGGCCUGAGAUACGGCCCAGAAGCGUACGGGCGGCAGUAGUGGGGAAUAUUGCACAAUGGGGGGACGCCUGAUGCAGCAACGCUGCGUGCGUGAUGCCGGCUUUCGGGUUGUAAACCGCUUUCGCCUGUGCCGAAGCGUGAGUGACGGUAAUGAGUCAAGAAGCACCGGCUAACUACGUG